rnacentral:Y_RNA from 1 species
AGCUGGUUCGAAGGUAGCAAGUUAACUCGAUUGUUCAUAGUCAGUUACAGAUUGAACUCCUUGUUCUACUUUUUCGUCUUCUCACUACUGCACUUGACUAGUCUUUA